UGCACUUUAUUGACCUUUGAAUUUUUAAUGUAGUAAUUUAUUCAUUGCUUGGGUCCACACCCAUUUGGAAUCACGUGACCCUUUUCACCUAUAAAUUUUUAGUGCACUAUGUGUUUGUUAUGCUUGACAAAGGGGGUAACCCCGAAACGUUGCAUGCUGCAAUAAAUACCUAGCAAGGUUUUUCCUGCUUGAAAUAUCCUGUGUGCCAGUGAAGUUUUUUGUUCCAGUAUACUAGGGAGGUGGCCGAUUCCUCCUGUUUGCUGUGCACCAGGUGUUCUCUAUCUGAUUGAUUAGGGUGUGCGAGUGUUUCUUGAAAUUCCAGUGUGCUAUACGGCCUUACACUCAGCACCCCUCCACGAAUAUUCGUGAUGUCUUUUGCUGAUAUUGCAGCUACGACAGACCGUAAAGCUGAUAUCUACUGCUUCACAGAAGUGGAAAGAAAGCGUAUACUACAGGCAUCCCAAAGUCUACCCCAAGUGACAAUCUCUGCUGAGCCGGAUCUAUUUCGUAAUUUGGAGCAGCUUAAGAGACGGGAGACAGUAUGGGCCUUACAUUCAGCCUCGCUUACAGAAUAUGUAAGAGCACAGAGGAUCCCUCGAGGUUUGAGAAUUUCGCUACAACCUGCCCUUUUCCGGGGCGAUGCAGAGUUUCUUACAAAGUGGCGUGGAAUACUAAAUCGGUGCAGCCUGGAUUUGAUGACUUUAACAAUCCAGCAGCUGAACAAUGGACAGAAGGAGCUGCAGCAACAGAUUCAUGCAGCGUCGGAAGAGUACAAGAUCAAGUUUGGAGCGACGAACAACGAUACAUUACAAGAGUUAGAGAGGAAGAUCGAAAAACUACAACAGGAGCUACUACAGGGCAAACUCCGCAAGUUUCGCAGAGAUACACGCGACUACGAAACUGGGGAAGUGUAUACAUGGAAGGACAACAGACGCGCUUACCGUCAGCGGUUUCAUUCCUCUGCCUCUACAUCACGAAAGUCGGAGACACACUCCACAGACUCAGAGGCCUCGUCGCCCGUUUCAUCCCAAGGCUCUGCGGUCGCUUUUUUAGGGCAGGGUCGCCAAGGAGGCCAGGAAGGACAAGGAGGGGCAAGAGGAAGAGGAACAUACAGAAAAUCGAGAGCGGGUCGGCCAUAUCGCAGGUAAAUCCUGUUAUAAACUUAUCCUCAUAUGAAUUACAGCCCAACGAACUUUCAUUACUUGAUAAAGGACUGAACUUUGUUCCCACCUUCACUUCACCAUCAUUUACGUUUUCUAUUGAUUUAUUUAAAUUCGUUAGAAUGUUGAAAUUGAGGGCUCAUUUCUGUAAUAGUGAGGGUGGCAGAAGGGAAGAAUUCACUGAUCGUUUUAAAGGUAAAUUGGGCAGUACUAGUUCAUUUAUGCCCACUGGUAACUUUGCUACGAUCGAUACAUUUGAAGCCAUGGUAAUGGCAGAUGUCAGCAAGCAACAGCGUACAAAAAUGAAUAAUAAGUUUGCUAUAAGCCAAAAUAUUUCUAAAAUUGAACGUGAUGCUUUAAAAACUUUGCAAGCUAAUGCUGACAUUUUCAUUACAAAGGCCGAUAAAGGUGGCGGAACUGUCAUUUUGAAUAAAAUUGAAUAUGAUAUGGAGGCACUUAGGCAGUUAAAUAACGGUUCACAUUAUGCACGUUUGGAUGGUGAUCCGUCCUUUAAAUUUAAAAAUGAGCUAAAUAUCUUCCUUAAUGAGGCGGCUUUGGAAGGGGUAAUUACAGAUGAAAUUCACCAAUUGCUCACUGAAAAGUACCAUAAGACACCAUACGUUUAUUUUUUGCCUAAGGUACAUAAAAGUUUAGAUAGACCGCCAGGUAGACCGAUUGUUUCAAACAUUGGAUCAAUAUGGCAGCCUCCCGCUAUUUUCAUUGAUAUGUAUUUGCAAAAUGUUUUGCCAAAAUUGAAGCCGUGUCUGAUUGACACAACUGAUUUCCUGACUAGACUCAAUAGUGUAAUUUUACCAUCUGAGAAUUUCCUUUUAUGUUCUUUGGAUGUAAAAGACCUGUUUACAUCGAUACCUCAUUCAGAGGGUAUCGAGUGUAUUCGUGGAUAUUUAUCUGAAUCUGAUUUGCCAACGUACAAAGUUAAUUUUAUCUGCCAGCUAUUAGAGAUGGUUCUGACUAAAAAUUAUUUUGUAUAUAAUGAUGAUUUCUAUCUUCAGUUACAGGGCUGCGCCAUGGGUGCCAACAUGGCACCUGCCUACGCAAAUAUCUUCAUGGAUAACUUUGAAAAAAUGUAUAUUUUUUCAAAUGGGGACUAUAGUCAGUAUAUACAUCACUAUAUGCGCUACGUGGAUGACACGUUCUUUAUCUGGACUGGCUCGGUGGACAAAUUUCAUGAAUUUGUUAAUUAUCUUAAUACUGUACAUCAAACAAUUAAAUUUACAUCUGAAGUUAACCCUUUAGAGUUACAUUUUUUGGAUGUAAAUGUGCAGGUGAGUGGCUCUUCAUUUACUACCACCGUUUAUACUAAACCCACUGAUCGAAACAAUAUCCUUAAACCAUCAAGUUUCCAUCCACCCGGUCUAUUUAAAGGUCUGCCACGUAGCCAAUUUAUGCGGGUUAAACGUAUCACGUCCACUGCUGAGCUAUAUAAUCUUGAGUCAACUAAGAUGGUAGAUAAAUUCGAUGCGAGGGGUUACGACAGACCAACAUUGUUGGCAACACAGAAUGAGGUGGGGGAUAUACCUAGGGUGACUGCUUUAACGAAAAAACCUCUAAUAACAGCUAGUAAAAUACAGAGAAUCCCUUUUGUUACUUCUUAUGAUACCAAUUCUUGGUUUUUUCGUAAGGUGAUACUUAGACACUGGAAGGUUUUGAGUACAGACCAGAAGUAUGGUCAUUUGUUUAAAUCUCCCCCCAUUUUCUCUUAUAGGAGAGGGAGGAAUGUUGGUGAAUUGAUAAAGCGUAAGCCACCUCCUUCAAAAGGUAGUCGUAAUCUGCUUGGUUCACAGAGUAAUGGUACUUUUCCUUGUAGGAACUGCAGCCAUUGCAAUGCUAUUACCCCUGGCAGCUCUGUGACACAUCCUCAUUUGGGCACUAAGCAUGACAUUAAGGGAUUUUUUACCUGUGAUACGAAGGACGUGGUUUAUUGUCUUAAGUGCCCGUGCGGACUGACCUAUAUUGGUCAGACAAGUCGGGCUAUUAAAUUGCGACUUAAUGAACACAAGUCUAAUAUUCGUAAUUAUCGGCCGGCUCCGCUUCUUCCACAAACCUCUUUAAAAAGUCUUAAAAAUUCUGAUGUCAGGACUGAAAGAAUAAAACCUGAGACCUUAUUGGCAAAACAUUUCUUCAUGCAGGGACAUCAAGUAUCCCAGCUGAGAUGGCAAGUUCUAGAAAAAGUAAUUUUUAAACCUGGUUUGGAUAAAAAGAAAUGUUUGUUACAGAGGGAAUGCUAUUGGAUUUGGCUUCUCGAAUCCCGGCACCCUAAAGGUCUUAAUGAAGAAUAUAGUAUGGCCUGUUUUUUGUAAUUAUUUCGCCUUCUUCCUCCACUCUAGAUGAACAGCUUUGCCUUGGAUGAACUCAGGGAUAGAUUUUUCUCUGCACAUAAGACACUGUGUUAGGACAGAAGAUUUUAUUAUGGACAUUUAUUCACUUAUGAACAUUUUAUUCACCGAAGAAAAUGCUUUCACCAUUUCUUGCCAAGGAUGUUUUGGCUUUUUUAUCAGCACUUGCACUUUAUUGACCUUUGAAUUUUUAAUGUAGUAAUUUAUUCAUUGCUUGGGUCCACACCCAUUUGGAAUCACGUGACCCUUUUCACCUAUAAAUUUUUAGUGCACUAUGUGUUUGUUAUGCUUGACAAAGGGGGUAACCCCGAAACGUUGCAUGCUGCAAUAAAUACCUAGCAA